UAGAGCAUAAUUCCCUUGGACCCAUGCUGCCU
rnacentral:piRNA from 1 species